rnacentral:rRNA from 1 species
AUUGAACGCUGGCGGCAUGCCUUACACAUGCAAGUCGAACGGUAACAGGGAGCUUGCUCCGCUGACGAGUGGCGAACGGGUGAGUAAUGUAUCGGAACGUACCUUUUAGUGGGGGAUGACGUAGCGAAAGUUACGCUAAUACCGCAUAUUCUCUGAGGAGGAAAGCAGGGGACCUUCGGGCCUUGCGCUAAUAGAGCGGCUGAUAUCAGAUUAGCUAGUUGGUGAGGUAAAGGCUCACCAAGGCGACGAUCUGUAGCGGGUCUGAGAGGAUGAUCCGCCACACUGGAACUGAGACACGGUCCAGACUCCUACGGGAGGCAGCAGUGGGGAAUAUCGGACAAUGGGGGGAACCCUGAUCCAGCCAAGCCGCGUGUGUGAAGAAGGCCUUAUGGUUGUAAAGCACUUUAAGCGAGGAGGAGGCUCUUUUGGUUAAUACCCAAGAUGAGUGGACGUUACUCGCAGAAUAAGCACCGGCUAACUCUGUGCCAGCCGCCGCAGUAA